rnacentral:rRNA from 1 species
GGGAAACAGCCCAGACCAUCAGUUAAGGCCCCUAAAUAUUUACUAAGUGAUAAAGGAUGUUUUGGUACGUAGACAACCAGGAGGUUUGCUUAGAAGCAGCAAUCCUUUAAAAAGUGCGUAAUAGCUUACUGGUCAAGUGCCUUUGCGCCGAAAAUGAAUGGGACUAAGUAAUUUGCCGAAAUUAUGGGACAAGAUCGGUAGGAGAGCGUUCUGUAUUUGUUGGAAGCAGUAGUGAGAACAGCUGUGGACUUAACAGAAGUGAGAAUGUCGGCUUAAGUAACGAAAACAUUGGUGGAAAUCCAAUGCCCCGCAAACCUAAGGAUUCCUUCGCAAGGUUCGUCCACGAAGGGUUAGUCAGGACCUAAAACAAGAUUUAAGAAUGUAGUUGAUGGUUAACAGGUUAAUAUUCCUGUACUGCAUUUUAUCGACUACAAGUGACGAAGAAGGCUAAUAUCAUCCAAAGAUUGGUUGUUUUGGUUUAAUCUUUCGAGGUUUUAGUGAAGACUUUAAACUGAGAAGAAAAUACGAUAAGUACUACGGUACUAAAAGUGAUUGAUGUCAUGCUUCCUAGAAAAGCUUGCUUGGUUUAUGAUUGAAUGUACCUGUACCGUAAACUGACACAGGUGGGUUAGUAGAGAAUACUAAGGGGCGCGAGAUAACUCUUUCUAAGGAACUCGGCAAAAUAACUCUGUAACUUAGGGAGAAAGAGUGCCUCUUUAUAGAGGUCGCAGUGACCAGACCCAAGCGGCUGUUUACCAAAAACACAGGUCUCCGCUAAGUUGAAAAACGAUGUAUGGGGGCUGACGCCUGCCCAGUGCCGGAAGGUUAAAGAAAUUGGUUAGCGUAAGCGAAGCUAGUAACUGAAGCCCUGGUGAACGGCGGCCGUAACUAUAACGGUUCUAAGGUAGCGAAAUUCCUUGUCGGGUAAGUUCCGACCUGCACGAAAGGCGUAACGAUUUGGGUACUGUCUCAGAAAGAGACUCGGUGAAAUAGAAUUGACUGUGAAGAUGCGGUCUACUUGCACUUGGACAGAAAGACCCUAUGAAGCUUUACUGUAACUUGAAAUUGGUUUUGGACUUUUCCUGCGCAGAAUAGGUGGGAGGCAAUGAAUCUAUUUUUCGGAAGAAGAUGAGCUGCAAUGUGAGAUACCACUCUGGGAAAGUUAGAAACCUAAUAGUGUUUUUACAAUAUACUUGACAGUUUCAGGCGGGCAGUUUUACUGGGGCGGUAGCCUCCUAAAAAGUAACGGAGGCGUACAAAGGUUUUCUCAGUCUGGACGGAAAUUAGUUGUAGAGUGUAAAGACAUAAGAAAGCUUGACUGUGAGACUUACAAGUCGAGCAGAGACUAAAGUCGGUCUUAGUGAUCCGACGGUGCUGAGUGGAAAGGCCGUCGCUCAACGGAUAAAAGUUACGUGUGACCUGUCCAAUAUGGAAUGUUUGAAAUCCUGAAAAGGACUCAAAAUUAAGUGGUUUAUAAAUGGUGAUGAAAGUUCACAAUAUCAAAAUCAGAUAAAAGCAUAGAAAAAACCAGAAUAUCUGGUUGUCGGUCGAAAUAAUGUGAUAGCAAGCACUAUUUUGAUUAAACAGACCUAAAAGCCUACUAGAAUGGACGGUAUCCAAACUCGGAGGUUAGCUAUCUUUAUGAAGGUUUACAGAUGUCCUCCCGGACUAUAAGAAAUCCAUGAAUAAAAUUCCUUUAAUGUCUGUAAGGGUAUUUUUACCGUAUUAAAGCCUUUAUUACCAAAAGAAUGGUAUGUUUCGAAUACGGAAAAGAAUGGUAACUAAUCUUUGAUUUUAACCGUGAAACAGGAGUAAAGUGGAGAACCUUUAUAAACAAAAAACUAUUAAAAAUUUCUAAUUUUUUUUAGCCUUUUAGUAUUUAUAAACUGAACAGGGACACCUUUUCUUGGCCUCUAUAUUGUGAUUUAUAAUUAUACUAUAGAUAUGCUAAAUGAGUCAUGAGAGGGAAAGGAUGGGCUACCAAGCGAAUGGUCGAGUUGAAUUGACAACUCAUACAUGAAAAGUGAUAAAUGGAGUAAUUUCCGACAUAUGCCAAAUUAGCUCGCAGGUUUUUUAUUUUCUUUAAAUAAAUUAUAGAAAAAAAUAGCCUGAGUAGCCGGAUGAAUGGUAACGUUCAAGUCCGGUUUCGGAGGAGAAGUAUUACUGCGAAAUCAUAAGUGAUAAUAUUAACUCUCUAACUCUAGGGAUAACAGGCUGAUCUCCCCCAAGAGUUCACAUCGACGGGGAGGUUUGGCACCUCGAUGUCGGCUCAUCGCAACCUGGCGCGGUAGUACGUUCCAAGGGUUGGGCUGUUCGCCCAUUAAAGCGGUACGUGAGCUGGGUUCAGAACGUCGAGAGACAGUUCGGUCCAUAUCCGGUGUAUGUGUUAGAGUAUUGAAAGGAGCUUUCUUUAGUACGAGAGGACCGAGAAGGACACACCUCUGAUGUACCAGUUUUUGUGCCAACAGAAUACGCUGGGUAGUCACGUGUGGAGUGGAUAACUGC